AAAAACUUCAUUCGUCCCUGAUAUAUACUAUCGUGUAUACAUUGCUUGCAUGCUCAAGACCCUACACGUAAGGUUCAUGGCUAAGGUGAUGAAGAGAGCCAAGUGCCCUCUCGUCCUCAGCUUCCCCUACCUGCUCCAGGUCAUAUGGUGGUGUUGCCUUCCCCAAGCCACCUCGCUUAGCUUCGACUACGACUUCUCCGUUCCCGGCGUGCUCGCCGGCGCCGACCUCAGGUACAUGAACGACUCUGCCGCCCUCCAGGACCGGAUCGAGCUGACCAACUACUCGAGGAGCUGGAGCACCGGCCGGGUGGCCUACGGGAAGGCCGUGCGUCUCUGGGACGAGAGCACUGGCAAGGUCGCGAGCUUCACCAGCAACUUCGCCUUUGCCAUCACUCCCGCUACCAGCAACAGCGCGGCAUGUACAAAUUUCCUGCAAUUUCUACUAGAGUACAUGUCAGUCGUUUUUGUAAUUAUCAAGUAACGUUGCUUGCGGUUGCGGUGCAGAGAGGUGAUGGCAUGGCCUUUUUCUUGGGGCCUUACCCGCCGAGCAUGCCGACGGACGCCCGCGGCGGCCACCUCGCGCUGAUCAACAACCGCGACAACCCGGCAAACAAAGAUUCCCCACGAACCGUCGCCGUGGAGUUCGACGCGUUCAAGAACGCCGGCUGGGACCCUGAUGGCACCAACUGCCACAUCGGCGUCAACGUCAACGACAUUAGGUCGGCGGAGACCACCGCGCUGCCGGACGGGUUCUUCAACGGGAUCAUGUCGGCGUCGGUCAGGUACGACGCCCAAGCGGCCACGCUCUCGGCCACCCUGAGGUUGGAUGAUCCGCCGGGGCAGAGUCCAUACACCGUCAGCGCCAACGUCGACCUGCGGAACGUCGGUCUGCCGCAGGAAGCAGCGGUGGGAUUCUCGGCCUCCAUUGGGGACCUCGUCGAGAAGCAUCAGAUUCUUUCUUGGUCAUUCCAGUCCUCUAUGACCGAUUCCAAGACAAAAGGCACAAGUCUGAUAGCUGGGCUAGUAUCCUCUGGUUUGCUCAUAUUGCUUGCCAUAGCCGUAUGGCUCGGCUACCGCCAAUAUGUGAAGAGGAAGGGCAAGAACAUCCAUGACAACAUACCUGAAGAUGCGGAUGAGACCCCUCUUGAUGACCAGGACAUGGACAGCGAGUUGGAGAAAGGGACAGCACCACGGAGAUUUAGUUACAGCGAGUUAUGGCGGGCGACACGGGGAUUCAGCGAUGAUGAGAAGCUCGGCGAGGGUGGGUUCGGGGCAGUGUACAGAGGUUUCUUGCAUGACCGUGGGCUCCAUGUUGCCAUCAAGAGGGUGUCCAAGAUGUCGAGUCAAGGAAGGAGGGAAUAUAUCGCAGAAGUGACCACCAUCGGCCGGCUGAGGCAUCGCAACCUUGUUCAGCUCGUCGGAUGGUGCCACAAAGCUGACGAGCUCCUACUCAUCUACGAGCUCAUGACCAACGGUAGCCUCGACGUUCAUCUCUACAAAUCCAGAGACAUCCUAACAUGGCCAAUCAGGUACAAGAUCACUCUUGGCAUGGGGCAUGCACUCAUGUACCUGCACCAGGAGUGGGAGCAGUGCGUGGUGCAUAGGGACAUCAAGCCCAGCAACGUGAUGCUCGACUCCUCCUUUGACGCCAGGUUGGGAGACUUCGGGCUGGCGCGCCUCGUCGACCACAGCCGCGGCGCGCACACGACGAUGCUGGCCGGCACCAAGGGUUACAUGGACCCUCAGUGCGCGGUGACCAGCAGGGCUAGCGCCGAGACCGACGUCUACAGCUUUGGGGUCGUCCUCCUCGAGAUCGCCUGCGGCCGGAGGCCCGUCAUCCAGGAGCUGGAGGACGAGAGCAGGAUGGUGCUGGUCGAGUGGGUAUGGGCUCUCUACGGGAGAGGCGCACUCCUCGACGCGGUGGACGCGCGGUUAGACGGCGAGUUCGAUGCGCGUGAGAUGGAGCGCACGCUGCUGGUGGGCCUCUGGUGCGUUCACCCGGACUACGGCUUCCGGCCGUCCAUCCGGCAAGCCAUGAGCGUGCUCCAGUUCGAGGCGCCCCUUCCAGAACUCCCCCCGGAGAUGCCGGUGGCACUACUGUACGUGCUGCCGCACCCGCACGGACGCUACGGGUCGAGCUACACGUCGUCGUCAACAGCGACCAGCGCCAGCACCGGCCACCGCCGACAGCAGGAGUGCCAUCCUGAUGAGGCUGAUAGCGUCGACAACGAAUCAGACCCCCGGCAGGACCGAGCAUGUUCAGUCCACGCCGCGCAACUCUCCUAGCAUGUUUCUCAUGUUUAGUCAAGGAGUUUUGGUACCAGGAGCGACAAUAUCAGGCGACAACAUCUUUUACAUGCUCCUCUGUUUCCAAUCUAAAAAGUUAUAAUCAAAUGUUUCAGAAUAGUAUUAAAAAAAGGAGCUAUAUAUGAAUGUCAUUGUGAAUGUUAGCAAGACAUGUGGCCACGAACCCUAACAAAAAAUAAUCCACACAAACUGGAAACACGGAAGAGACAAAUCAAUAUAUGAAUAGUACGUACCAGUUUUACACUA